GACGAACGCUGGCGGCGUGCUUAACACAUGCAAGUCGAACGGAAAGGCCCUGCUUUUGUGGGGUGCUCGAGUGGCGAACGGGUGAGUAACACGUGAGUAACCUGCCCUUGACUUUGGGAUAACUUCAGGAAACUGGGGCUAAUACCGGAUAGGAGCUCCUGCUGCAUGGUGGGGGUUGGAAAGUUUCGGCGGUUGGGGAUGGACUCGCGGCUUAUCAGCUUGUUGGUGGGGUAGUGGCUUACCAAGGCUUUGACGGGUAGCCGGCCUGAGAGGGUGACCGGCCACAUGGGGACGGAGAUACGGCCCAGACUCCUACGGGAGGCAGCAGUGGGGAAUAUGGCACAAUGGGCGGAAGCCGGAUGCAGCAACGCCGCGUGCGGGAUGACGGCCUUCGGGUUGUAAACCGCUUUCGCCUGUGACGAAGCGUGAGUGACGGUAAUGGGGAAAGAAGCACCGGCUAACUACGU
rnacentral:rRNA from 1 species